UACAGAGGGUGCGAGCGUUGUCCGGAAUCACUGGGCGUAAAGGGCGCGUAGGUGGCUUGGUAAGUGUGUGGUGAAAGCCCGGGGCUCAACCCCGGGUCUGCCGCGCAAACUGCCGAGCUUGAGCAUACUAGAGGCAGGUUGAAUUCCGGGUGUAGCGGUGGAAUGCGUAGAUAUUGGAAAGAACACCGAUGGCGAAGGCACUCUACUGGGCUAUUACUGACACUCAGAGACGAAAGCUAGGGGAGCAAAUGGG
rnacentral:rRNA from 1 species